ensembl:lncRNA novel transcript
AGAUUCUUCCUAAAACCUCCAGAGGAAGUGAGGCCCUGCUGAUGCCUUGAUUUUGAACUUCUAGCUUCCAAAACGCACUAUAAGCUGAAACUAGAUGAAGUUUUUAUGAGCAAGUGCCUGAUGUAUGAGCUGCACAGAAAGUUCACCAAACCACCCAAAGCCAUUGCCAUAGGCAUCUGAACUGCAAGCCAGCACAAGAAGUCGAUGCUUUCAUACACUUUCCAAGAUGUCAGAACAAGGUUCCAAAUCAUAAUAAGAAUUCACUCCUUACCUAGAAGUAAAAAAAGAGGACACACUUUUGAACCGCUCACAUGACCACACCAUUCUGCGGGGACGUCCUUGUGUUGAGGGGAGGUCUGAAGUCCAUGGAAGAAGACGCAGUGGCUGCUGGAGCUCGUGCAGAGGAAGGGACCCUCAGAAGGACAGGAUCUAGCUAUGCUGCCCAGGUUGGUCUUGAACUCCUGGCCUCAAGUGAUCCUCCCACCUUGACUUCCUAAAGUGCCGACGUUACAGGUGUGAGCCACCAUACCUGGCCUUAUCUUGUUGUUUUUAUUACUGUUAUGAUUACCCUUUGUAAGUAAAUCUUUACGAUCUGGA